AGAUUAGACGCUGUUGCUUUACAGCCUGUAAUUCCCCUGCAGGUGCCACCGUCACAGACUGACAGUCAAAAUACAGAAAAAGUUCCUUCUGUGAACCUCACUCAGUCUGGAUGUGUUUGUGUUUCUCGUGUUGCCCCAUCAUCCACAGUCCGAGACAUUAUUCAAGGAGCAAAGACUGGUUGCUGUUGCGGCAAAAGUUGCAGUACCCAGACAGCAGACAUCAAUAACACCAGCAACAUCACCUGACCAAGAACAAGAGACGAAUGUUUGCAUUACUGGUGGCUGGAAGAAGUCUCUGCCUAAGGCUGAUCACCAGUAGAUCGCAAAGGCAUUCUUCAGUUGGACCAAGAAAGGAGGUGUUCAGCUUAACGGCUCCAUCCUAGACUUUGGUGGCAUCCUCCUCAGCCACAUUUGGGGUCAACAUGAAACCCGGUGUGGACCGCUACUUUGCGCGCCCCCUGUUCCUCUGGAUUCCUCGUAAGAUGUGGAGGCUGAAGCUCGUUUGUCCACAUGCCGACUGCAACAAGAGCGAGCUGAUUUCUACUGGAAUCCAUAAGAAGAUGCGACAAGUAGUGGA